GGCCUCCAUCUUGAAAACGGAAAAUAAAAACAGCAGACCUAUGAAGGUCGAAGGGGAAGAAAAGCUGUAUCGAUUGUUGAGAUCUGGCGACUUGUUUAAAUUUCAUCAGCCUCACUUCUAUGAACUCUCAGGCCUCAUGUGUACCAGCUCUCUGCUCUCCUUUGCCUUGGGACGUUCCAUCCCUGGAAGUUUCCCUGCCCACAUCUUUGUAGAGAGUCCAUUCUCCAAGCUUCAGUGUGUCAUCUGUGAGGACUGUGACCAACCUGGUACAUCGCCUCAGGGCAUUCAUUUCAGGCUCCUUCUAAAUGGUCAAGACAAAACACCAACAUUUUUGUAAUGGCCUGCAAGGCCUUCCGAGAUCUGCCUCCUGCAACUCAGCUUCUCCUGUGCUCUCCUUCUGGACUCACUCUGCCUCAGCAACACUGGUCCCUGUUGCCCCACCAAUAUACCAGGUAAACCUCAGGUUCUCCUCCUGCCUUUUGCUAAGUAUAUGUCUUGAUGACAAGCCUUCUGCUGAUGAGCUGUGUUUCUGGACCGAUCAUGGUAGAAGUCAAUUAACGUGUCCCUCACUUGGGGUUUCUCAAGGCUGCACUGAUGAGGAAACUGAAACAGAAAAUCCAGAGUAAAUUCCACCAGGCCACACAGCAAGGUCUGAUAGAGCCAGGAGAGACUUUAUGAAAUCCAGACUCUCACACUAAUGCUCUAUCAGCUAGACCUCCAUGUGAGUCUCCCCAAUGUAGGUAGGAAGUGCUUUCCC
rnacentral:lncRNA from 1 species